rnacentral:rRNA from 1 species
AGGACGAACGCUGGCGGCGUGCCUAACACAUGCAAGUCGAACGCGCUCCAUUCGGUAGCAAUACUGAUGAAGAGCGAGUGGCGAACGGGUGAGUAGCACGUGAGCAACCUGCCCCGAAGACUGGGACAACACCGGGAAACCGGUGCUAAUACCGGAUAUCCCUAUCGGACCGCAUGAUCUGAUAAGGAAAUGGAUUCCGCUUCGGGAGGGCUCGCGGCCUAUCAGCUUGUUGGUGAGGUAACGGCUCACCAAGGCGACGACGGGUA